rnacentral:rRNA from 1 species
AGGGGGCCGCCUUCGCCACCGGUAUUCCUCCAGAUCUCUACGCAUUUCACCGCUACACCUGGAAUUCUACCCCCCUCUACAAGACUCUAGCUUGCCAGUUUCAAAUGCAGUUCCCAAGUUAAGCUCGGGGAUUUCACAUCUGACUUAACAAACCGCCUGCGUGCGCUUUACGCCCAGUAAUUCCGAUUAACGCUUGCACCCUCCGUAUUACCGCGGCUGCUGGCACGGAGUUAGCCGGUGCUUCUUCUGCGAGUAACGUCAAUCACUAAGGUUAUUAACCUUAAUGCCUUCCUCCUCGCUGAAAGUACUUUACAACCCGAAGGCCUUCUUCAUACACGCGGCAUGGCUGCAUCAGGCUUGCGCCCAUUGUGCAAUAUUCCCCACUGCUGCCUCCCGUAGGAGUCUGGACCGUGUCUCAGUUCCAGUGUGGCUGGUCAUCCUCUCAGACCAGCUAGAGAUCGUCGCCUAGGUGAGCCAUUACCCCACCUACUAGCUAAUCCCAUCUGGGCACAUCUGAUGGCGUGAGGCCCGAAGGUCCCCCACUUUGGUCCGAAGACGUCAUGCGGUAUUAGCUACCGUUUCCAGUAGUUAUCCCCCUCCAUCAGGCAGUUUCCCAGACAUUACUCACCCGUCCGCCGCUCGUCACCCAGAGAGCAAGCUCUCUUGUGCUACCGCUCGACUUNAUGUGUUANGCCUGCCGCAGCGUUCAAUCUGAGCCANGAUAAA